rnacentral:misc_RNA from 1 species
CAAAAUUGGUAUCUUACCAAAACACCGUGUGCACCAUAACUGUUCUUGGUAGCGUAUUGGAUGGGUCACGUACCCCACAUCAGCAGUGCGCGUGAGGACUUCGGUCUUUGACUGUGCGAGUCAGCUGUGGGACCUACUGGCCUUUCUCGAUCGCUGCCGCACGUCCAAACAUUGUAUUACAAAAUUAUAGUCUGAAUCAGUUCACCACAAAGUGAAAUGAAAAA